GAGUUUGAUCAUGGCUCAGGAUGAACGCUGGCGGCGUGCCUAAUACAUGCAAGUCGAGCGAACAGACGAGGAGCUUGCUCCUCUGACGUUAGCGGCGGACGGGUGAGUAACACGUGGAUUAACCUACCUAUAAGACUGGGAUAACUUCGGGAAACCGGAGCUAAUACCGAAUAAUAUAAUUGAACCGCAUGGUUCAAUAGUGAAAAACGGUUUUGCUGUCACUUAUAGAUGGAUCCGCG
rnacentral:rRNA from 1 species